rnacentral:rRNA from 1 species
AACGAACGCUGGCGGCAGGCUUAACACAUGCAAGUCGAACGCCCCGCCAGGGGAGUGGCCGACGGGUGAGUACCGCGUGGGAACAUACCCUUUUCUACGGAAUAGCUCUGGGAAACUGGAAUUAAUACCGUAUACGCCCUACGGGGGAAAGAUUUAUCGGGGAAGGAUUGGCCCGCGUUGGAUUAGCUAGUUGGUGGGGUAAAGGCCUACCAAGGCGACGAUCCAUAGCUGGUCUGAGAGGAUGAUCAGCCACAUUGGGACUGAGACACGGCCCAAACUCCGCGGGAGGGCAGCAGGGGGGAAUAUUGAACAUGGGGCGAAGGCUUAAUCCAGCCAGGCCGGGGGAGUGAUGAAGGCGUGAGGGUUGUAAAGCUCUUUCACCGUUGAAAAUAAUGAGGGUAGUAGGAAAAGAAGCCCGGCUUACUUUCUU